UACAGAGGGUGCGAGCGUUAAUCGGAAUUACUGGGCGUAAAGCGUGCGUAGACGGUUAUUUAAGUCGGAUGUGAAAGCCCCGGGCUCAACCUGGGAAUUGCAUUCGAGACUGAAUAGCUAGGGUACGGUAGAGGGAAGCGGAAUUUCCGGUGUAGCGGUGAAAUGCGUAGAUAUCGGAAGGAACAUCAGUGGCGAAGGCGGCUUACUGGUCCGGUUCUGACGCUGAGGCGCGAAAGCGUGGGGAGCAAACAGG
rnacentral:rRNA from 1 species